rnacentral:rRNA from 1 species
CUGGCGGCGUGCUUAGCUUUCCUUAAUCGACGACCCUCUUUCGGACUUUUUUCGCGGACGGGUGAGUAACGCGUGAGGAACCUGCCUUUCGGAGGGGGAUAACCCCCGGGAAACUGCUGCUAAUACCCCAUAUGCCCUCCGGUGUAAAAGAUAUUUUGCAUGAGGCCAAGGGCUCUCCCUCCGAUUAGCUUAAUGGGGGGGCAAGAGUUUUCCAAGGGCCACCAUUCCUUUACUGUGUUUUAAAAGAUGAACCGCCCCCCUGGGACUGAAAACACGGCCCAAACUCCUCCGGGGGGCACCAGUGGGGAAUUUUUCGACAUGGGCCAAAACCUUGUCCAACACUUUGCCGCGGGUGUGAGAAAGGCUUUUGGUUUGUGAACUCCUUUUCUCAGGGUAGAGGAUAAUGACGGUAACCUGAGGAGACAGCCUCGGUUAUUUCCGUGCCAACAGCCGCGUUAUUCCGGAGGAGGUAAGCGUAAUCCGAAAUUAUGGGGCGUAAAGCGUUCGUAGGCGGCCUUGUAAGU